rnacentral:snRNA from 14 species
AUACUUACCUGGCAUAGGGGUUACCGUGAUCACUAAGGCGGUUCCCCCAGGGCGAGGCUCU